UACGUAGGGUGCGAGCGUUUGUCCGGAAUUAUUGGGCGUAAAGGGCUCGUAGGCGGUUUGUCACGUCGGGAGUGAAAACUCAGGGCUUAACCCUGAGCCUGCUUCCGAUACGGGCAGACUAGAGGUAUGCAGGGGAGAACGGAAUUCCUGGUGUAGCGGUGAAAUGCGCAGAUAUCAGGAGGAACACCGGUGGCGAAGGCGGUUCUCUGGGCAUUACCUGACGCUGAGGAGCGAAAGUGUGGGGAGCGAACAGG
rnacentral:rRNA from 1 species